rnacentral:rRNA from 1 species
AUUGAACGUUGGCGGCAGGCUUAACACAUGCAAGUCGAGUGAGUGGCGGACGGGUGAGUAAUGUCUCGGAAACUUCCUGGUGGUGGUGGAUAACUACUGCAAACGGUAGCUAAUACCCCAUACCAUCAGAUGUGCCCAGAUCGGAUUAGCUAGGAGGUGGGGUAAUGGCUCACCGCGGCGACGAUCCCUAGCUGGUCUGAGAGGAUGACCCGACACACUGGAACUGGGAAGAGGUCCAGACUCCUACGGGAGGCAGCAGUGGGGAAUAUUGGACAAUGGACGCAAGCCUGAUGCAGCCAGGCGGCGUGUGUGAAGAAGGCCUUCGGGUUGUAAAGCACUUUCAGCGAGGCGGCGGUACUCGAAGAAGAAGCACCGGCUAACUCCGUGCCAGCCGCCGCGGUAAUUC